rnacentral:rRNA from 1 species
CCUACGGGUGGCAGCAGUGAGGAAUAUUGGUCAAUGGACGAGAGUCUGAACCAGCCAAGUAGCGUGAAGGAUGACUGCCCUAUGGGUUGUAAACUUCUUUGAUAUGGGAAUAAAAUGUUCCACGUGUGGGAUUUUGUAUGUACCAUAUGAAUGAGGAUCGGCUAACUCCGUGCCAGCAGCCGCGGUAAUACGGAGGAUCCGAGCGUUAUCCGGAUUUAUUGGGUUUAAAGGGAGCGUAGGUGGAUUGUUAAGUCAGUUGUGAAAGUUUGCGGCUCAACCGUAAAAUUGCAGUUGAAACUGGCAGUCUUGAGUACGGUAGAGGUGGGCGGAAUUCGUGGUGUAGCGGUGAAAUGCUUAGAUAUCAAGAAGAACUCCGAUUGCGAAGGCAGUUCACUAGACUGCAACUGACACUGAGGCUCGAAAGUGUGGGUAUCAAACAGGAUUAGAUACCCCAGUAGUC